rnacentral:tRNA from 2 species
AGUCUUUUAGUUUUAAUCAAAAAUUUUUUUUUUGUAAAUUAAAGAUGUGAAUUAUUUUCGCAAAGACUU